rnacentral:rRNA from 1 species
GCAUGUGCGCGAGUCAUUGGGACUCUGUUAAACCUAAAGGCGCAAUGAAAGUAAAGGUCCGCCUCGCGCGGACCGAGGGAGGAUGGGCCCGUCCGCGGGCGGGCCCCGCACUCCCGGGGCGUCUCGUUCUCAUCGCGAGAAGAGGCGCACCCAGAGCGUACACGCUGGGACCCGAAAGAUGGUGAACUAUGCCUGGUCAGGACGAAGUCAGGGGAAACCCUGAUGGAGGUCCGUAGCGAUUCUGACGUGCAAAUCGAUCGUCGGAACUGGGUAUAGG